rnacentral:rRNA from 1 species
AUACGGAGGAUGCGAGCGUUAUCCGGAUUUAUUGGGUUUAAAGGGAGCGUAGGUGGGAUAUUAAGUCAGCUGUGAAAGUUUGGGGCUCAACCUUAAAAUUGCAGUUGAUACUGGUUUCCUUGAGUACGGUAUAGGUGGGUGGAAUUCGUGGUGUAGCGGUGAAAUGCUUAGAUAUCACGAAGAACUCCGAUCGCGAAGGCAGCUCACCGGGCCGGAACUGACACUGAUGCUCGAAAGUGCGGGUAUCAAACAGGAUUAGAUACCCUGGUAGUCCGCACAGUAAACGAUGAAUACUCGCUGUUUGCGAUACACUGUAAGCGGCCAAGCGAAAGCGUUAAGUAUUCCACCUGGGGAGUACGCCGGCAACGGUGAAACUCAAAGGAAUUGACGGGG